AGAGAAUGUACAUGUUAGGAUUUAAAAAAAAAAAAACUUUACAUUGAUAUUUUAACACUGGUGUCACAGUAUUUAAUAAAAUCUUGAAACUAAAUGAAAUGCGAGCACCUUUUACUUACUCCUCUGUGUGUGUUUUUUUUAGUUACUCAUGAUUAAAUGAUAUAUGAUCAUAAAAGGUCAAAAUAAACCUUACCAUUACUAUUGUAAUUAAGAUGCUGCCAAUACAAUGCAGACUUUGAUACCCAGUGAAACAUAAUAUGUAUUUUAUUUAACUAAAUGGAAAUGUCUGUAAGUAAUGCUGUGUAAAAGGGCAGAUGAGAGUUUUUUUUGCUGUUGUUGUUUUGUUUGUUUUUUUUUUUACAUUGAAUGAGGCCCUGCUUUCCUGCUGGAUAAGGCGGAGUGGCUGGACUUGGCACAACAGCAAGCAUUGGUCUCUUGUCUUGAGGAGAUCCUGUGCAAAAAGAAUAUGUCUGCAUACACAGCUUUAUCCAGAUCCUCACACACCAGCUUUGAGAUGCGAGACAGGACGUCUGUGACCGGACUCAGCUUCUCCUGAAGAUUUACACUGACGUCUACAGGAACUGAACCCAUCUGAGGGACCUCCACCAGCCUGGAGUCCUGCUCACACACACACACACACACACACACACACACACACACACACACACACACACACACACACACACACACACACACACACACACACACACACACACACACACACACACACACACACACACACACACACACACACACACA